rfam:Nicotiana attenuata strain TT chromosome 4, whole genome shotgun sequence.
UGGACAGAUUAUUGUAUUCGACUGUAUUCACGACGUGAAAUAGGGGAUUACACUAUUUUUAAAACGGAAAGUGAAUCAAUUAACAUAAUAGACUCCU